GACGAACGCUGGCGGCGUGCUUAACACAUGCAAGUCGAACGAAGUGGCGAACGGGUGAGUAACGCGUAAUCAACCUGCCCUUCAGAGGGGGAAAACAGUUGGAAACGACUGCUAAUACCGAAUACUGAAGGCGGGGAUUGCGUCUGCUUAGCUAGUUGGAGGGGUAACGGCCCACCAAGGCGAUGAUCAGUAGGCGGGCUGGGAGGAUGAACGGCCACAGUGGGACUUGGACACGGGCCAGAAGCCUACGGGAGGCAGCAGGGGGGAAUCUUCGGAAAUGGAGGAAAGGCUGACGGAGCAAAGGCGCGUGAUUUAUGACGGACCUCGGGGUGGAAAGCUCUUUUAAUCGAGACGCGGUACCGGAAUAGAAAGCAACGGCUAACUACGUGCCAGCAGCCGCGGUAAUUC
rnacentral:rRNA from 1 species